AAUACGUUCCCGGGCCUUGUACACACCGCCCGUCAAGCCAUGGGAGCUGGGGGUACCUAAAGUCGGUCACCGCAAGGAGCUGCCUAAGGUAAAACCAGUGACUGGGGCU
rnacentral:rRNA from 1 species